rnacentral:misc_RNA from 1 species
UCGAAACCUGCGUAGCAGAACAACUAGCGAACGUGUUAAUACCAUGAAAGGGGAGGGGUGAUGGCUUGCCUAGACCCUUCCUCUAAUGUCAUGUGGCUUUCCUUUGUGAUUACCGCAUGCCAAAAUAACCAACCCCCGGCGCGUUAUGCGUCAAGGAAUAUAUUCACUAUCUUGCCUAUCCUGAACCGGGUUUCCGGCAUAUGGGUGCGGCACCAAUGUAAGAAAUGGAAUGA